GAAUCCCGUCUUUGACAUGGACUGCCAGGGCUCAACAGGUGUGCUCUCGAAGAGUCGAGUUGUUUGGGAAUGCAGCUCAAAAUGGGUGGUAAAUGCCAUCUAAAGCUAAAUAUUGGCGAGAGACCGAUAGCGAACAAGUACCGUGAGGGAAAGAUGAAAAGAACUUUGGAAAGAGAGUUAAACAGUACGUGAAAUUGCUGAAAGGGAAACGCUUGAAGUCAGUCGCGUUGGCUAGAAAUCAACCUUGCUUUUGCUUUGUGUACUUUCUGGUUGACGGGUCAGCAUCAAUUUUGACCACUGGAUAAAGUCUUUGGGAAUGUGGCAUCUUCGGAUGUGUUAUAGCCCAUUGUCGCAUACGGUGGUUGGGAUUGAGGAACUCAGCACGCCGCAAGGCCGGGUUUCGACCACGUUCGUGCUUAGGAUGCUGGCAUAAUGGCUUUAAUCGACCCGUCUUGAAACACGGACCAAGGAGUCUAACAUGCCUGCGAGUGUUUGGGUGGAAAAACCCAUGCGCGCAAUGAAAGUGAAAGUUGAGAUCCUCUUCAAAGGGGGAGCAUUGACGCCCGGACCAGACCUUUUGUGACGGAUCCGCGGUAGAGCAUGCAUGUUGGGACCCGAAAGAUGGUGAACUAUGCCUGAAUAGGGUGAAGCCAGAGGAAACUCUGGUGGAGGCUCGUAGCGAUUCUGACGUGCAAAUCGAUCGUCAAAUUUGGGUAUAGGGGCGAAAGACUAAUCGAACCAUCUAGUAGCUGGUUCCUGCC
rnacentral:rRNA from 1 species